UGGGGAAUAUUGGACAAUGGGCGCAAGCCUGAUCCAGCCAUGCCGCGUGAGUGAUGAAGGCCCUAGGGUUGUAAAGCUCUUUCACCGGUGAAGAUAAUGACGGUAACCGGAGAAGAGGCCCCGGCUAACUUCGUGCCAGCAGCCGCGGUAAUACGAAGGGGGCUAGCGUUGUUCGGAAUUACUGGGCGUAAAGCGCACGUAGGCGGAUCGAUCAGUUAGGGGUGAAAUCCCGGGGCUCAACCCCGGAACUGCCUCUAAUACUGUCGAUCUGGAGUUCGAGAGAGGUGAGUGGAAUUCCGAGUGUAGAGGUGAAAUUCGUAGAUAUUCGGAGGAACACCUGUGUCGAAGGCGGGUCACUGGCUCGAUACUGACGCUGAGGUGCGAAAGCGUGGGGAGCAAACA
rnacentral:rRNA from 1 species